CAAAGGUUGUAUCUUUCAGCACUUUGUUAUUGGGCGUGCCUACUUACUAAUUCUAUUUGAUAAGUCAACCUGGGAAACUGCGGAAUGGUGCUGAAUGAAGUUGUUAAUAUGAUUUCUUUUGUGUUUGCUACUGAUAUAUCUCUAAACUUGCAUUUCUCUGCUAUGUUUGUCUGUCAGAGCUGUUGCUGGAUAAGGCUGACGUGCACCAAUGUAAACUUCAGAUUGAGCUUACAACACGGAUUGUUCCCUCCAGCUGUUCGAUUUGCACAUGCGACAAUCGAAGUGUGCCUAUGUUUGGCUGCCCCGUUCACAGAUAUACAGGUUGAAUUCUUCGUUCUUUAUUAUAGGCCGGUUCAUGUGCUUUGACUUGUGAUCUGGGUCGGCGCAUCUAUUAUUUUCGGUCGCAAAUGUGCGCUAGCUCAUGCCUCUCUUGGGUGAUAUAAUCUUUUUGGGGUUUCUCAUAAACUGCAGUGUAUGUAUUAUGCAGAUGAACAAAAACCAUUCAGGUUCCGCAUCCACCCAUCAGGUUCUCUAUUAUACUGCAGGAGGAAAUCCUUUCUUAUUGACCCUUCAAGCGGUAGUCUUUUAGAGGCAGCUUUUGUGCUUUUCCCUUCCGCUGGAACUGCAUGCAGAGUUUGAGUUCAUGGAGUGCCUUUGGCCUUCAGAAAGAAGAAGAAUAAAUGUUUCGUCGUUGAUCUUUCUUAUGUUCCUAGGUGCAUUGUUUUAGGUUAUGCCCUCAUAUGCAGAGAUGGAAAAUCACACAUUUUGCAUCCAGCUUUCAAUGGGAAUAAAUUGAAUUUUGUUUUGAAGCUUGCCGAUGAAUCAAGAAUAUAUCUCUGAAAGCUGCUUCUUUUUUGCAAAAAAAAAGAAGCUGAUUUAAGCAUCAUUGCAAUUCAAAACCUACACAGUAUUUAUUUCUGCAUUUAUUUGAAGAUGAGAAUAUACUGACUUCAAUAUCGAGUGUCGAUCCAUUGUUUUCUGCAGGUAAGUAUUAUUUUUUAUUUCCUAAAAAGGAUUUGAAUAUCAUUUU